GACGAACGCUGGCGGCGUGCUUAACACAUGCAAGUCGAACGGAAAGGCUCUGCUUUUGUGGGGUGCUCGAGUGGCGAACGCGUGAGUAACACGUGAGUAACCUGCCCUUUACUUUGGGAUAACUUCAGGAAACUGUGGCUAAUACCGGAUAGGAGCUCCUGCUGCAUGGUGGGGGUUGGAAAGUUUCGGCGGUUGGGGAUGGACUCGCGGCUUAUCAGCUUGUUGGUGGGGUAGUGGCUUACCAAGGCUUUGACGGGUAGCCGGCCUGAGAGGGUGACCGGCCACAUUGGGACUGAGAUACGGCCCAGACUCCUACGGGAGGCAGCAGUGGGGAAUAUUGCACAAUGGGCGGAAGCCUGAUGCAGCAACGCCGCGUGAGGGAUGACGGCCUUCGGGUUGUAAACCGCUUUCGCCUGUGACGAAGCGUGAGUGACGGUAAUGGGUAAAGAAGCACCGGCUAACUACGUG
rnacentral:rRNA from 1 species